rnacentral:rRNA from 1 species
UAAGUUAAUAAGGGCGCACGGUGGAUGCCUUGGCACUAGGAGCCGACGAAGGACGUGACAAACGACGAUAUGCCUUGGGUAGCUGUAAGUAAGCGAUGAUCCAGGGAUUUCCGAAUGGGGGAACCCAACAGGUAAUACCUGUUACCUACAUCUGUUAAGGAUGUGAGGAGGAAGACGCAGUGAACUGAAACAUCUAAGUAGCUGCAGGAAGAGAAAGCAAAAGCGAUUGCCUUAGUAGCGGCGAGCGAAACGGCAGAAGGGCAAACCGAAGAGUUUACUCUUCGGGGUUGUAGGACUGCAAUGUGGACUCAAAGAUUAUAGAAGAAUGAUUUGGGAAGAUCAGCCAAAGAGAGUAAUAGCCUCGUAUUUAAAAUAGUCUUUGUACUUAGCAGUAUCCUGAGUACGGCGGGACACGUGAAAUCCCGUCGGAAUCUGGGAGGACCAUCUCCCAACCCUAAAUACUCCCUAGUGACCGAUAGUGAACCAGUACCGUGAGGGAAAGGUGAAAAGCACCCCGGGAGGGGAGUGAAAUAGAACCUGAAACCGUGUGCCUACAACAAGUUCGAGCCCGUUAAUGGGUGAGAGCGUGCCUUUUGUAGAAUGAACCGGCGAGUUACGUUAUGAUGCGAGGUUAAGUUGAAGAGACGGAGCCGUAGGGAAACCGAGUCUGAAUAGGGCGCCUUAGUAUCAUGACGUAGACCCGAAACCAUGUGACCUACCCAUGAGCAGGUUGAAGGUGCGGUAAGACGCACUGGAGGACCGAACCAGGGCACGUUGAAAAGUGCUUGGAUGACUUGUGGGUAGCGGAGAAAUUCCAAACGAACUUGGAGAUAGCUGGUUCUCUCCGAAAUAGCUUUAGGGCUAGCGUCGACAUUAGAGAUUCUUGGAGGUAGAGCACUGUUUGGGUGAGGGGUCCAUCCCGGAUUACCAAUCUCAGAUAAACUCCGAAUGCCAAUGAAUUAUGGUCGGCAGUCAGACUGCGAGUGCUAAGAUCCGUAGUCGAAAGGGAAACAGCCCAGACCACCAGCUAAGGUCCCAAAAUAAUUGUUAAGUGGAAAAGGAUGUGGGGUUGCACAGACAACUAGGAUGUUAGCUUAGAAGCAGCUAUUCAUUCAAAGAGUGCGUAAUAGCUCACUAGUCGAGUGACCCUGCGCCGAAAAUGUACCGGGGCUAAAACAAUUUACCGAAGCUGUGGAUACCUUUAUAGGUAUGGUAGGAGAGCGUUCUAUGUGUGAUGAAGGUAUACCGUGAGGAGUGCUGGAACGCAUAGAAGUGAGAAUGCCGGUAUGAGUAGCGAAAGACAGGUGAGAAUCCUGUCCACCGUAAGACUAAGGUUUCCAGGGGAAGGCUCGUCCGCCCUGGGUUAGUCGGGACCUAAGGAGAGACCGAAAGGUGUAUCCGAUGGACAACAGGUUGAUAUUCCUGUACUAGAGUAUGUAGUGAUGGAGGGACGCAGUAGGCUAACUAAAGCAGACGAUUGGAAGAGUCUGUCUAAGCAGUGAGGUGUGAAUUGAGUCAAAUGCUUAAUUCUAUAACAUUGAGCUGUGAUGGGGAGCGAAGUUUAGUAGCGAAGUUAGUGACGUCACACUGCCAAGAAAAGCUUCUAGCGUUUAAACAUACUCUACCCGUACCGCAAACCGACACAGGUAGUCGAGGCGAGUAGCCUCAGGUGAGCGAGAGAACUCUCGUUAAGGAACUCGGCAAAAUGACCCCGUAACUUCGGGAGAAGGGGUGCUGACUUUAAGUCAGCCGCAGUGAAUAGGCCCAAGCAACUGUUUAUCAAAAACACAGCUCUCUGCUAAAUCGUAAGAUGAUGUAUAGGGGGUGACGCCUGCCCGGUGCUGGAAGGUUAAGAGGAGUGCUUAGCGUAAGCGAAGGUAUGAAUUGAAGCCCCAGUAAACGGCGGCCGUAACUAUAACGGUCCUAAGGUAGCGAAAUUCCUUGUCGGGUAAGUUCCGACCCGCACGAAAGGCGUAAUGAUUUGGGCACUGUCUCAACGAGAGACUCGGUGAAAUUUUAGUACCUGUGAAGAUGCAGGUUACCCGCGACAGGACGGAAAGACCCCAUGGAGCUUUACUGCAGUUUGAUAUUGAGUGUCUGUACCACAUGUACAGGAUAGGUAGGAGUCUAAGAGAUCGGGACGCCAGUUUCGAAGGAGACGCUGUUGGGAUACUACCCUUGUGUUAUGGCCACUCUAACCCAGAUAGGUGAUCCCUAUCGGAGACAGUGUCUGACGGGCAGUUUGACUGGGGCGGUCGCCUCCUAAAAGGUAACGGAGGCGCCCAAAGGUUCCCUCAGAAUGGUUGGAAAUCAUUCGCAGAGUGUAAAGGUAUAAGGGAGCUUGACUGCGAGAGCUACAACUCGAGCGAGGGACGAAAGUCGGGGCUUAGUGAUCCGGUGGUUCCGUAUGGAAGGGCCAUCGCUCAACGGAUAAAAGCUACCCUGGGGAUAACAGGCUUAUCUCCCCCAAGAGUUCACAUCGACGGGGAGGUUUGGCACCUCGAUGUCGGCUCGUCGCAUCCUGGGGCUGUAGUCGGUCCCAAGGGUUGGGCUGUUCGCCCAUUAAAGCGGCACGCGAGCUGGGUUCAGAACGUCGUGAGACAGUUCGGUCCCUAUCCGUCGCGGGCGUAGGAAAUUUGAGAGGAUCUGCUCCUAGUACGAGAGGACCAGAGUGGACUUACCGCUGGUGUACCAGUUGUCUUGCCAAAGGCAUCGCUGGGUAGCUAUGUAGGGAAGGGAUAAACGCUGAAAGCAUCUAAGUGUGAAACCCACCUCAAGAUGAGAUUUCCCAUGAUUAUAUAUCAGUAAGAGCCCUGAGAGAUGAUCAGGUAGAUAGGUUAGAAGUGGAAGUGUGGCGACACAUGUAGCGGACUAAUACUAAUAGCUCGAGGACUUAUCCG